UUAGGGGGGGAUUCAAGAAUGAAAAAAGAAAUGAACAUAGUCUCUUCUCUCUCAUAUCUCACGUUCAUCUUCAUAUUUAGCUACAGUGACCAAAACAAAAUACUCAGUUAUUUUUUCCACACACAGUAAAAUACUCCUCACUCAUUUCCAACUAAAACCAAACCUCACAUUAACUUCUUUUUUAAUAACAACACAAUAUUCUUCAAACACUCCAUAAAUCUCUUCACCAUAUUAUAACACUCUC
rnacentral:lncRNA from 1 species